UUUCCUCCGAGGGGCUGCUGGUGGUUUCAAACCUUUGGCCUUUCAGUUAGCAGUCUAGUGCUUUUACCACUGCACUACCGGGGGUUUGAAGAGAGAGUUCAAGGCCCGUGGAUGGUGUGAGACUGGUAGCGGCUCCUGGUGUAUGGGGCUGGGUCUUCCCAGAGUCGGGGUGCUUGGGAACGCAGCCCAAAGCGGGUGGUAAACUCCAUGUAAGGCUAAGAACCGGCACGAGACCCAUAGUCAACAAGUACCCUAAGG
rfam:Loxodonta africana unplaced genomic scaffold scaffold_29, whole genome shotgun sequence.